GACGAACCGUGCGAACGUUGUUCGGAAUCACUGGGCGUAAAGCGCGCGUAGGCGGACCUGCAAGUCGGGGGUGAAAGCCCGAGGCUCAACCUCGGAACUGCCUUCGAUACUGCGGGUCUCGAGUCCGGGAGAGGUGAGUGGAAUUCCUAGUGUAGAGGUGAAAUUCGUAGAUAUUAGGAAGAACACCAGUGGCGAAGGCGGCUCACUGGCCCGGUACUGACGCUGAGGCGCGAAAGCGUGGGGAGCAAACAGG
rnacentral:rRNA from 1 species